GCCGCGUGAGUGAUGAAGGUUUUCGGAUCGUAAAGCUCUGUUGUUAGGGAAGAACAAGUGCCGUUCAAAUAGGGCGGCACCUUGACGGUACCUAACCAGAAAGCCACGGCUAACUACGUGCCAGCAGCCGCGGUAAUACGUAGGUGGCAAGCGUUGUCCGGAAUUAUUGGGCGUAAAGGGCUCGCAGGCGGUUUCUUAAGUCUGAUGUGAAAGCCCCCGGCUCAACCGGGGAGGGUCAUUGGAAACUGGGGAACUUGAGUGCAGAAGAGGAGAGUGGAAUUCCACGUGUAGCGGUGAAAUGCGUAGAGAUGUGGAGGAACACCAGUGGCGAAGGCGACUCUCUGGUCUGUAACUGACGCUGAGGAGCGAAAGCGUGGGGAGCGAACAGGAUUAGAUACCCUGGUAGUCCACGCCGUAAACGAUGAGUGCUAAGUGUUAGGGGGUUUCCGCCCCUUAGUGCUGCAGCUAACGCAUUAAGCACUCCGCCUGGGGAGUACGGUCGCAAGACUGAAACUCAAAGGAAUUGACGGGGGCCCGCACAAGCGGUGGAGCAUGUGGUUUAAUUCGAAGCAACGCGAAGAACCUUACCAGGUCUUGACAUCCUCUGACAAUCCUAGAGAUAGGACGUCCCCUUCGGGGGCAGAGUGACAGGUGGUGCAUGGUUGUCGUCAGCUCGUGUCGUGAGAUGUUGGGUUAAGUCCCGCAACGAGCGCAACCCUUGAUCUUAGUUGCCAGCAUUCAGUUGGGCACUCUAAGGUGACUGCCGGUGACAAACCGGAGGAAGGUGGGGAUGACGUCAAAUCAUCAUGCCCCUUAUGACCUGGGCUACACACGUGCUACAAUGGACAGAACAAAGGGCAGC
rnacentral:rRNA from 1 species